rnacentral:snRNA from 1 species
GCUUCAUAGAGCAGCAGCACAUAGGUUAAAAUUGGAACGAUACAGAGAAGAGUGCCAUGUCCCCUGCACAAUAUACACCAUUAUUGCAGCAGCACAAUGAUUCU